UCCGGUUUUGCAUACAGGCAGUGCGGCACUCUUUGACAGUGCAGGAAGAGGUUCGAGUCCUCUAACCGGAA
rnacentral:tRNA from 1 species